rnacentral:rRNA from 1 species
UAAAGCUCUGUUGUUAGGGAAGAACAAGUGCCGUUCAAAUAGGGCGGCACCUUGACGGUACCUAACCAGAAAGCCACGGCUAACUACGUGCCAGCAGCCGCGGUAAUACGUAGGUGGCAAGCGUUGUCCGGAAUUAUUGGGCGUAAAGGGCUCGCAGGCGGUUUCUUAAGUCUGAUGUGAAAGCCCCCGGCUCAACCGGGGAGGGUCAUUGGAAACUGGGGAACUUGAGUGCAGAAGAGGAGAGUGGAAUUCCACGUGUAGCGGUGAAAUGCGUAGAGAUGUGGAGGAACACCAGUGGCGAAGGCGACUCUCUGGUCUGUAACUGACGCUGAGGAGCGAAAGCGUGGGGAGCGAACAGGAUUAGAUACCCUGGUAGUCCACGCCGUAAACGAUGAGUGCUAAGUGUUAGGGGGUUUCCGCCCCUUAGUGCUGCAGCUAACGCAUUAAGCACUCCGCCUGGGGAGUACGGUCGCAAGACUGAAACUCAAAGGAAUUGACGGGGGCCCGCACAAGCGG